AUCUGGGAUGGUUGAAAGGGGGAAAAAAAAAAGGAAUAAAUUUACCAUACGAAAAAGACAAGACAGACUUGGAAGGAGAAAAAAUAUGCUUGAUUCGUCGUGCACGAGAAAGUAACAGCUCUUUCAACAUAAAUUGCGGUGUUCGUCACCGCAGAGUCAGUGCCUCAUGGCGACUUUCCAUGUGGUUAAAAUUAUCCUCGUGACGUCGCGGGAGUACACCUACCCGUUGAACGUUUCCCAAGUCACGUGACAAGUCUUUUUCGUACAGACGUAGGGUAUUCACACACGCGCGCACAGCUAUUUUUGAAGGAAACGAAUUGAACGAAUCAUCGCCAGAGGGAUUGGCGGAUAUUAACUAUUUAAAUUACUGCACAAUGGGUGGGGCAGAGGGAACAUCGUUCAUGUGGUGGUUUCUGCUAGAACACGUUUUACGGGCCAAGGUCUAUGACUCGCGAAAGUUGCAUGAGUUUCCACUGUCUAAGCCCUCAAGCUCAUACAAAUGGAUCAAUAACUAGCAGUGUUGUGUACACCGGGGAAAACCAGCUAAAGCCUGAUUGCUCAUCCAGGUGUGCAGCACCUGCACACAGGAAUGUUUUCAAAGGCAAUAAGGAUAACAUCAAUAUGCUAGCUAUUCAAGUUUGCAAUAGCGAUCAGUGUAGACUUGAUAAUGUCCCCGAAGAGUUGAGGGCAAACCUAGAGUGAAUCGAGUCCCAGCUGCAAAUAGUUAUAUCACUGGCCCCAAGCACUUUAUGAUAAAAGGAAUGGCAAUCGCUAUUACACGGUCUCAUCCUCUACCGGAGCCUGAUAAACGUUGUGAGUAAACAAAGCACGAGGAAGGAUAAGUGAGUACACUAAACAAAUUUUUUGUCUUACCUAGUUAUACCAGAAUGAUAUGGGUGGCUUUUUUUACUUAAAUAUUUAAGAAUUCCUCGAUCUUCAAGGUAGUUAUUUUCCACCUUGCGAUCUGAACUAACAAGAAGCGUCUGCUUUUGCUUUUUGUUAGGUAACCGGGAACAGGGCCAAUCGCCAUCUACUGGAGUGUUAUAUCACCACAACGAAUGAAGUAACGAAAUUCUUAACAAAAGAAAAAUGUAACAAAAUUAUUAAAGAUCGAAGCAAAUACGCCAAGACUAAACAUUGCAAAACUUUACGGUAAUAACAAUACCAGUUAACACAUUGAUUAAUCGAAGCUAUUUCUAAUUAUACCAAGAUUGGUGAAUUGCCAAGACUUCGUCACGGAUAUAAAUGGGAACUUGUGAGCUGCAAUACUUGAAAUUUCGAUUGAUGAAACGCAUCAAAAUUAUGUUGAAGUCUUUGGUAAAGCUUUAUUAAGCCAACUUGUCAGAUAAUUUAUAAGGAAAAAUUUUUCAAUGCGUUCGGACUCGUCAACCUUAGGCAAUGUCAAGUUCUUUCGUCAAAUGUAGGUGUGAUUCUCAAAACUCUUGAACUAACCAAUUAUACGUUAAUUCGAUGCGAACUAUAGACAACGCCCUUCUUCAUCAAGACACAAUUUCAGGAUUUGCAUACACAUUUCAAAUAAGGUUAUCGAUUUGUACCUCUUACCGAAAAUGUAUCGACAAAUUUUCUGAAUGAAAUGUUUCGUGGUGACGUGGAAGCCCCAGUGGCCUUACUCGACGUAUGCGAGGCGGAAGACGGCCAUAAGAAGCCAAGCAUUCCAGCUCAAUAAUGAAAUCACGAGUGACCAGAAAUUUAAUCAAAUGUUUCUUUCUGAACGGCCAGUUCCCCUUUCAAUGCUCAUCGCACGUGCGGUCGAUUCUAUUGACAAGCCAGACACUACAAGUGUCACGCACAGCAUACUUCUGGAACUGAUCAAGCAGCGGGAGUGACAAACACAUCGUCUGUGGGCCACGGCCAAAAAAGAGGCAUUCUGGCGUCGAAUAUUUUUCAUUGUUUGUGUCGACAUGCCAUUGAAAUGCUGACACGAAGCCGUCGGAGAGAUCACCGAUUGCAUCUGUGGUAGCUCAUAUGAGCAGGCGAGUUGGCAUGUUCGUCAAUACUAACAAACGUGAAACUUUGGGAGCCUUAGAAAGAAACAUCAAAGAGACAAUAGCUUUAUAAGCGAUGAAUCACGGGAUUCGGAGACAAAAGCUAUUACAGAUACUAUAUGAAGCCCAAAGAAUGGAGAAGAGUCUAUGACCCGUUUUAGAUGGCCUACGCAAACUCGAAAAAGAAUAAAAGAAAAAACAAAACAAAAAACAGUUGGGAUAAAAUAAGGAAAUGACAAGUCUCGUCAUUGGAUUCCUUAUACUCUUUCGCUUGGCUGCACGCAAUUCCAAUAAAAGACGGUGACUUGCCCUGGGUCCCGAGUCAAACGCAUGUUGCAAAAGACCAAAGGAGUUCCUGGAAUGGGACGGUCGAUUAUUCUUCGACGACGCAAGUGUUACGCAUAUCCACGUGUUUGUCCAUUUGACGCAUUUGAAAAACAAACUUCUAAUGCGUACACGUCAGGUAAAAUUGUA